GCGACGUCGCGCCGCGACGUGGAUCCUUUCGACCGCGAUGUGAUGUGUGUAAUGUGGUGGACACGGUGUUCGCGAGUAUCGCAAUUAGAAUAGCGGACAUGGCCGCUUAUCGCGAAAAGUGCGGAUUCGUCGUCCAGCAUGGUGUACGCGACGCUUGCGGAGUGCGGAGCCUGGAAUAUCGACCCGCGAUCGAGGCCGGCGUUCGAGACAAUUUUACAUCGAAGGCAUCCGAGUGCACAUCGUGCCUCGCUUCUCCUUUGUUGGUAUAGAGUUGGUAGAGCUGGAUAACAAGGCACAAGUAGCACAGCUGCUGGGCGACAAAAAGAGCUCCACUAGACGUGGCUCGCGGUCCAGUCUGGCUAAUAUCGAACGUGAACAAAGUCACGAAGAGCCUGAUCUGACCGAAUUCUGGCUGAAUUUCAUCGGCGACCGCACACGCACGCAUUUGAAUGCAAUCGAACGCAGGCAAACAGUUCGCUGCCACUGGUGUAAAAGACGCUACACGAAGGACAGCGGCGAGCAGUGGCCACCACCAACAUAACUAGUGCUAACCCGGGUUUAAAACAAUUGGUACGUGAGUGGCAACGAAGACAACGGUGAGGGCUGAGAGGAGGAGGUGGCCCGGGGGGCAUCAGGCGCCGGCGAAACAACCAUAGAUGAAUAUGCAGUUUCGACUUCGCUGUUGCGCAUCAGUGUUGGUGAGUCGUUACCACGAUUAUAAUCAUUGCCAUUUGCCAUUUUCCUAUAUAAUGAGACAACGAUCGAUCGAGCCUAGUUCGUAUCUAAUACGGGGGAAGGUUUUGCACAUUAUUAUUUUUUUCACAUUGCUUAUUGUCUGUUCACAAUAGCAGCCGCCAACGAAUAAUUCGCUUUCGUGUUUUUUUCUUCUUUUCUUUUCUCUUAAUACACCCAAUGCGGAAGCAUCGUGGACGAUGAUAAGUAUGUAAAGAACAAUAAGAGGAAAUGGCAAACAAUUUCUCUACCUAUUCCUAAAUUAAAGAAUUGGAAAGUUAUAAUUAUAUAUAGGUACGAAAUAAAAUCUUAUUAAUAUUCUUCUAUCUAUCUAUUCUUUGCGAAAUCUCGGCAUGAGGAUUGGUAGCCGCGACUACGAAUUCCGUUACGUCUUUCGCGAUGGCCAAUUACGACACGUUUGUUAGGUACAAUGGUUGUGUGCGACUGGUAUCGUAUACGUUAUUUUUCAUUUACCGCAAGCACGUGUCGCGUGAUCGAGGAAGCGCAAUACGCGCGGCACGCGCGUCUCCUUACGAUUCGCUUCGAUUAACACAGUCACGUUGAUUUGGUUGAUUGCAUCUGCAAUUCGUACAAUAAAACCUCGGCCGAUGACGGCUGAGUCGGGAUAUGGACUAGCUAGUUACAUGAAAGACUUACACAAAUAAUAUAAUCGUAAUAAUAAUCGUCAAUCGGAUUUUGUCCAAGAAGAAACG